CCUACGGGUGGCUGCAGUGGGGAAUAUUGCACAAUGGGGGAAACCCUGAUGCAGCAACGCCGCGUGAAGGAAGACGGUUUUCGGAUUGUAAACUUCUGUUCUUAGUGAAGAAUAAUGACGGUAGCUAAGGAGCGAGCCACGGCUAACUCCGUACCAGCAGCCGCGGUAAUCCGUGGGUGGCAAGCGUUGUCCGGAAUUACUGGGUGUAAAGGGAGCGUAGGCGGGAAGCCAAGUCAGCUGUGAAAACUACGGGCUUAACUUGUAGACUGCAGUUGAAACUGGUUUUCUUGAGUGAAGUAGAGGUUGGCGGAAUUCGUGGUGUAGCGGUGAAAUGCUUAGAUAUCACGAAGAACUCCGAUUGCGAAGGCAGCUUACUAAACUGCCACUGACACUGAUGCGCGAAAGUGUGGGUAGCAAACAGGAUUAGAUACCCCAGUAGUC
rnacentral:rRNA from 1 species